CCUACGGGAGGCAGCAGUGAGGAAUAUUGGUCAAUGGACGAGAGUCUGAACCAGCCAAGUAGCGUGAAGGAUGACUGCCCUAUGGGUUGUAAACUUCUUUUAUAAAGGAAUAAAACGCGGCACGUGUGCCUUUUUGCAUGUACUUUAUGAAUAAGGAUCGGCUAACUCCGUGCCAGCAGCCGCGGUAAUACGGGGGAUCCGAGCGUUAUCCGGAUUUGUUGGGUUUAAGGGGAGCGUAGAUGGGUUGUUAAGUCAGUUGUGAAAGUUUGCGGCUCAACCGUAAAAUUGCAAGUGAUACUGGCAGUCUUGAGUACAGUUGAGGUAGGCGGAAUUCGUGGUGUAGCGGUGAAAUGCUUAGAUAUCACGAAGAACCCCGAUUGCGAAGGCAGCUUACUAAACUGUGACUGACAUUGAUGCUCGAAAGUGUGGGUAUCAAACAGGAUUAGAUACCCCAGUAGUC
rnacentral:rRNA from 1 species